rnacentral:rRNA from 1 species
UACGUAGGUGGCAAGCGUUGUCCGGAUUUACUGGGCGUAAAGAGCGCGCAGGCGGUCGGAUAAGUCGAAUGUGAAAGCCCCCGGCUCAACUGGGGAGGGUCACGCGAUACUGAUCGACUCGAAGGCAGGAGAGGGAAGUGGAAUUCCCGGUGUAGUGGUGAAAUGCGUAGAUAUCGGGAGGAACACCAGUGGCGAAGGCGACUUCCUGGCCUGUUCUUGACGCUGAGGCGCGAAAGCUAGGGGAGCAAACGGG